rnacentral:rRNA from 1 species
CUGUAAGCCUGUGAAGGUGUGCUGUGAGGCAUGCUGGAGGUAUCAGAAGUGCGAAUGCUGACAUAAGUAACGAUAAAGCGGGUGAAAAGCCCGCUCGCCGGAAGACCAAGGGUUCCUGUCCAACGUUAAUCGGGGCAGGGUGAGUCGACCCCUAAGGCGAGGCCGAAAGGCGUAGUCGAUGGGAAACAGGUUAAUAUUCCUGUACUUGGUGUUACUGCGAAGGGGGGACGGAGAAGGCUAUGUUGGCCGGGCGACGGUUGUCCCGGUUUAAGCGUGUAGGCUGGUUUUCCAGGCAAAUCCGGAAAAUCAAGGCUGAGGCGUGAUGACGAGGCACUACGGUGCUGAAGCAACAAAUGCCCUGCUUCCAGGAAAAGCCUCUAAGCAUCAGGUAACAUCAAAUCGUACCCCAAACCGACACAGGUGGUCAGGUAGAGAAUACCAAGGCGCUUGAGAGAACUCGGGUGAAGGAACUAGGCAAAAUGGUGCCGUAACUUCGGGAGAA